rnacentral:rRNA from 1 species
GACGAACGCUGGCGGCGUGCUUAACACAUGCAAGUCGAACGAAGUGGCGAACGGGUGAGUAACGCGUAAUCAACCUGCCCUUCAGAGGGGGACAACAGUUGGAAACGACUGCUAAUACCGCAUACUGAAGGAGGGGAUUGCGUCUGAUUAGCUGGUCGGAGGGGUAACGGCCCACCAAGGCGAUGAUCAGUAGCCGGGCUGAGAGGGUGGACGGCCACAUUGGGACUGGGGCACGGGCCAGACUCCUACGGGAGGCAGCAGUGGGGGAUCUUCCGCGAUGGAGGAAAGGCUGGCGGAGCAAAGCCGCGGGAGUGAUGACAGCCUUCGGGUUGUAAAGCUCUGUUAAUCGGGGCGCGGUACCGGAAUAGAAAGCCACGGCUAACUACGUGCCAGCCGCCGCGGUAAUUC